rnacentral:tRNA from 1 species
GGAAGUGCUGUGGCUCAGUUGCAGAGCAUCUGCCUUGCAUGCAGAAGGUCCCAGGUUCAAUUCUCGGCAUCUCCA